CCCCGCAGCCGAUGGCCACGCCCCAUCACUGACCACGCCUCCGCCACCGCCCUCCCGCCCAUGGCCCCUCCGAGUCGCUUCCCGUAGGAGGAGGAGCAGGAUGGACGUGCUGCGGCCCCCCUUGAUAAGGAUCGGGGGGCGAGUGUACCGGAAAAAUCUCAUCCAAGAGCAAGCCUUCCCACACGAGGAGGAGGAGGACUUCUGUACAGGUCCCAGUGACUGCACGGACGAGCCCUGCGAUGCCUUUGUGGUGGAGGAGACUGAGCGAGGCUUCCAGUGCCGGGUGGAGGCUCCCAGCCCCUUCUACAAGUACAUCAUUGGGAAGAAAGGGGAAACCAAGAAGAGGCUAGAAACAGAGACUCGAACCUCCAUCAGCAUUCCCAAGCCUGGAGUGGAAGGAGAAAUUGUGAUCACGGGGCAGCAGCGGAGCGGCGUCAUCUCUGCCCGGACGCGGAUCGAUGUGCUCCUGGACAGCUUCCGCAAGAAGCAGCCCUUCACACACUUCCUGUCCUUUGCUCUCAACCAGCCUGCCAUCCAGGAAAAGUUCCUGCAGUUCAAGGAGGAGGUGCUGGAGAAAUGCUCAAAGGAUCACGGGGUCAGCAGCAGCCUGUUCCAGAACCCUGCAAAGCUUCACCUGACUCUUGGGACACUGGUGCUCCUGAACGAACAAGAGAUCCAGAAAGCGUGUGACCUCCUGCAGCGAUGCAAAGAGGACUUUGUGGACCAAAUUACUGGAGGCCAGCCCCUGACUGUGGAGGUGGCAGGAGUGGAGUACAUGAACGAUGACCCUGCCAUGACAGACGUCCUUUACGCCAAAGUCCACAUGAAGGAUGGCUCAGACAGAUUGCAGAUGGUCGCUGAUCAGCUGGUGGAGCGGUUUGUGGCCUCUGGCCUGAUGCUUAAAGAAUGGGAUAGGGUGAAGCUGCAUGCCACAGUCAUGAACACUCUCUUCAGGAAAGAUCCAACUGAAGAACGAAACAACACAAUGACUGGUAAAUCAUCUUUCAAGGAGAGGGAGUCAUUUAAUGGCCAAAAUAUCCUCAAGAGCUUCCAAAUUAGCAUCUCCACCGAGAAGCUUUUCCUGAGGCACAGCUGAUGUUCCCAGGUACAGCAAUUUCCUGCUGCUUAAUGGAACGGGAGGAGCACUUUACGCUUGGACACGAUGCUUUUCCAGCAAUAACUUCUUCUCUUCGAGAACUUCCACUUCGGGGAGGUGCAGCUGGACUCGGUGCGUCUCUCCCAGAGGUUCUCCUCGGAUGCCUCUGGCUACUACGCAACAUCUGGGCAGCUGUGCUUCUCUUGAGGCAGCCCUGUCUGCGUGAUCCUUCAGUGAAAGGUUUUAUAGGACGUGAAUCUUCAGUGGGAACCUGGGAGCUCCAAGCUGGGAUUCCUCCAAAGCAUGGGAACCAUGGCAUUUCCCUGCUGCUUUUCCCACUGCCCUCUCCUUGGGGGUUGCCAGGGUUCUUCCUCCUCCCUUCCCCAAAAUGUCACAAAGUUGCCUCUGGUAUCUGUGCACUGCUGGUUUUCCAAGAAAACAACUAGAACUGGGGCUUUUGGGGCAUCACUGAUGUUUAAAUGUGGCUUUUUUUUUUUCAUAAGAAGGAAGUUUGUUCUUAAAAUAAGUAUUUAAAAUCCAGGAGAGCUUCCCGGAGCACGAUUUAACGAUAUUGAGGUCAGGCAUUGCUUUGGAUCUCCAGCAGCGUGCCUGUGUGAUGUAGAUCUCCAAAUAAAUUAAUUCCCUUCAAAAGCAAAGUGUUUAUCUCCUGUUGCAUUGAUAGUUUCUGUAAUUAAACUUCCAGCACAGCACAUAACUAUGAUAAUAAGAAGGCAUCGAUGGUUAGAGCUCUUUCCAGUGACCGUUUCGGAGCGUGUCAAAAAACAUAUGCCUUGUAGGUGGUUUCUCCAUUAAAAGCAGCACCAAGCUCUUUGAUUCCAUUGUGAAUC